CACGUAGGGUGCGAGCGUUGUCCGGAUUUACUGGGCGUAAAGCGUGCGUAGGUGUCUUCGCAAGUCUCUAGUGAAAUCUCCGGGCCCCAACUCGGAAACUGUUAGAGAAACUGCGAGGAUCGAGUGUCGCAGAGGCAGACGGAAUUCUAGGUGUAGCGGUAAAAUGCGUAGAUAUCUAGAAGAACACCGAUGGCGAAGGCAGUCUGCUGGGCGACAACUGACACUGAGGCACGAAAAGCGUGGGGAGCGAACGGG
rnacentral:rRNA from 1 species